rnacentral:lncRNA from 1 species
AGGAAUGUGAUAUGCGACGUACACUUAGCACAUGCUGGUUCCUUUCUCUUCCUUCUGUAACUCAGCACUGACCUUCAGUCCCUGUGCUGACAUCCCUACCCCUGCCUCACUGCCUAUUUGAGGAACUUUCCUACUCAGUGGUGCCUUAUUGAAAUGGAGCAUAUUCCUGCCACCCAUAGGUUGGAGCACCCACCCCUGCUGGACAAGACCCUUCCUGGGGGGGCCACCUUGGAACUCUGAAUAGAGACUUGAAGAGUGAGGAAGACUAGGAGGCUGCUGCCAUUUGAAGAUGAAGUGUACAAUACGACAGGGAAUCAAGUGAACAGAAAGUGUUGAUGGGGAUCCCAGCAGAUAGCCAACAAAAGGGAACCUCACUUCUACAGCAGCAAGGAACUGCAUUCUGCCAAAAACCUAAUGAACUUGGAAGCAGAUUAUUUUCUGGAGUCUGUAGAGAGACGAGCAGGAAGAGGGAUAUUAGAAGAGAGAAAGUGAAAACUGGACUGAAACAUUGCUAGCUGGGGAUCUUAGCCUCUCUUUAGGCAACUCACUCCUAGUCCUAUUCUCUGCACAUGUGGGAAUUAUAAUGAGCACCAAGCAGAAUGAAUGAAAAUAAAUCCAGACCAAGAACCACUGAUGAAACUGCAACCCACAAGAGAAAACUAGCCAGGGUAUCUGCACAGGAAGGACAGGGAGACUUCUCUUUAUAAUAACAGAACCCAGAAGAUGACCUACAAGGUUCUGCCCACAGGGGAGAUUGUGACCUAUUGCUGGCCCCAACAGCAAGGCGAAGUUACACAUUUGCCUUGGCCUUGCCCUGAGAAGGUGCUGUGACAUAUUGCUGGGCCCAGCACCAAGGUGAUGGGACUCUCCUCUUUCUCCUGGAACCUGUCCACAGUGGGGAUUGUGACAUAUUGCUGGUCCCAGCACCACUGUGAUGUGACACUCCUCUUGUGCCUGGGGCCAGCCCACUGGGGUAAUUGUGACAUAUAACUGGACCUAACCCCUAGGUUAUGUGACUCACCUCUCCUUCCUGAGCCCUGCCCACAAGGGGGCCUCGUGACAUAUCUCUGGACCCCUCACCUAGGUGAUGAGAGUCUCUUGCCUGGGCCCACCCCUCAGGGUGUAUAGUGACAUAUUGCUGGACCCAACACCUAGGUGAUGUGACUCUUUUCUACUACUUGGCUCUGCCCAAGGAGAAAUUGUGAUGUAUCACUGGGCCGAGCACCUAGGUGAUGUGACUCUCCUCUCCUGCCUGGCUCCAGCCAAAAGGGGGGAUUGUGACAUAUCACUGGACCCAACACCUAGGUGAUGUGACUCUCCUCUCCUGCCUGGCUCCAGCCAAAAGGGGGGAUUGUGACAUAUCACUGGACCCAACACCUAGGUGAUGGGACUCUCCUCUUUUGCCUGGGCCCACAUAUUUUGGGUAUUGUGACCUGGGUGAUGGGAGCCUACUGCUUGAACCCUACCCAGAGGGAGUUUUGUGACAUAUCUCUGCAUCCAUCACCUAGGAGAUGUGACUCUCCUCUCGUGCCUGGCCCCAGCCAAAAGUGGGGAUCGUGACAUGUCACUGGAUUCAUCACCUAGGUGAUGGGACUCCUCUUUUGCCUUGGCCCCACAUACUUUGGGUAUUGUGACAUAAUGCUGGGCCCAACACCUGGGUGAUGGAAGGCUCCUGCCUGGGCCCUGCUCACAGAGAGCCUUGUGACAGAUCUCUGCAUCCAUCAUCACCUAGAUGAUGUGACUCUCCUGUUCUGCCUGCACCCUGCCCAUGGGGAAGAUUGUAACAUAUCCCUGGGUGCUGUUCCCAGUCUUGCCUCAUGGCCUUUGCCCCAGCUGUGUCCUCUGCCCUGCAGGAUGCACCUCUGCUCCGUGUGGCUCCCUCCCACUCUCACUCUCCAAAUGCCCUGAACCCCUGAGCCCCACUGCAGCCCCACUGUACCCUGGCUCUGCAGCGCUGCUUCUUCAUGAUGUGUGUCUUCCAACAGCAGACGGGGGCAUGAAUGUGGAUGCCUCAUUCACUGCUGUGUGCCGGCAUCCAGAGCAGGACUGGAGCCCAGAGCAGGCACCUGACUGAUAGUUGUUGAAUGAGUACAGUAAUGAAUGACAAUGAAAGCACUGUGUAGAAACACUGGCUGAAUAGUACCUAGAAAGAAAAUGUCUCAAAUACCUACAUUAGCAAUGAAAAAAACACUGCUAAUUAAUGAACUAAGCAUCUAAUUCAAGAAACAAAGCAACACAUCUAACUUAUAGAAAAAGUGAAAAAAAAAAAAAACGUAAGAUCAAAAACUG